UAUAUUUAAUCUUUAUAUAAUAAUUAUAAUUUAAAUAAUAAUUACCAAAGAAGGUAUUCAGUCCUGUAAAAUAUACAAAUUUCUUAUAAUUAAGUACGAUGAGAGUAAACUUGUCGGAAUAUAGGGGAACCAUCCUCUAAGGCUAAGUAUAAUAAAUUUAGCGAUAGUGAAAAGUACUGUAAAGGAAAAGUUGAAAAAGUUCGUUGUAUAACGAAAUGAAAUAGUCUUGAAUUAGUAAUUCUAUAAGCAGUCGAAGUUUUAGAAUAUAAAAUGACGGCGUACCUUUUGCAUAAUGGGUCAGUAAGUUAAUGAUAGUAGCAAGGUUAAUUAGCCUUAGCGAAAGCGACUGAAUUAUUUGUAUAAUAAAAUUAUAUAUUUUAAAAAUAUUUUUACUACAAUAAAAAUAGAAUAAAUUCCUUAUAUAAUAUAUUAAAUAUUAAUUAAUAUAUAAGUUAUUUAUUUACAAAGAAUAGUUUUGGGAUAGUUACUAUUAUUAGACCCGAAGCCAGUUGAUCUUUCCAAAACCAGAUUAUAAUGGAUCGAACGGUUGAAUGUUGCAAAAUUCUCCGAAGAGUUUUGGAAAGCGGUGAAAUGCCAAUCUGAACUGGUGAUAGCUGGUUUUCUACGAAACAUAUUUUAGUAUGACAUUUAUUAAUAAAUUUAUGGAGGUACAGCACGGUAAUUCCCAACUAAUAAUAAAUUAAAUUAAAUAUUAGGUUUAUUAAAUGUUUAGGUUGAGGGGAUCUCGAAAAUCUUACCAAUGGAAACGAAACUCGGAAUAACAUAAAUUGAUAAUAAAUAUUCAGACUAUUCAUGAUAAGUUGGAUAGUCAAGACGGAAACAGCCGAGAACAUGGAUCAAGGUCCCUAAUGAUUAUUAAGUGAAAGUAAGGAAGUAAUAGAUUGAAUGCAGCUGUAAAGUGAGCCUGGUAGUCGCUAUCUUUUAAUGACCGUUGUAACAACGUAGCAGCCCUUAGACUAUUGCGCCAAAAAUUUAACGGGUCUUAAAUAAUCAACCGAUAUCCUGUGAAUUAUAAAUAUAAAUUUUAUAUUUAUAAAUUAGGUAGUAGAACAUUCAGUAUAAUUGAUGAUAAACAGUGUUUCAUUGUUUGUAAAUAACUGAAGAGAAAAUGCUGACAUGAGUAACGUAAAAAGAAGUUAUAAUACUUCUCGCCGAAUACGAAAGGGUUAUAAGGAAAGGUUGAACUACCUUAUGUUAAUGCGGCCUCUAAGGUUCAAAACCAAAGUUUUGACUGAUGAGUAAUAUAUUGAAAAUCUAUAUGGUUAUUAUAAUAGAUCAAGAAAAUUAAAUAUAUAUUUUAUUUAUAAUUAAUUAAAAUUUAAUAAAAAAAUAAAUUAAUUACUACCGUACCCUAAACCGACACAGGUUCGUAAGUAGAGUAUACUAAGGCGUAGAGCUAAAAGUUGUUAAGGAACUCGGCAAGUUGUUCUCAUAAGUUUGACGAUAAGAGAAACCAUAUAAUAUUAAAUUAGCCAUAAUUUAAUAAAAAUUAUAUGGUAUAAUAAAAUCGGAGGCCACGACUGUUUACUAAAAACACAAUUCAGAGCAAUAAUUAAGAUAAUAGUAUUCUGGAUGAAAUUUGCUCAAUGCCAUUAAUAUAAAAGAGGUAAUUUUAAAGUUACUAAUUGAAAGUCUGGUUAAUAGCGGUCUUAACUAUGAGGAUUCUAAGGUAGCAAAAUAAGUUGGCCAUUAAAUGUGGUCUUGUAUCAAUAAUGUAACGAUGGUCUCACUGUCUCUACAACUUGCUCAGUGAAAUUGAAUUGCGAGUGCAGAUGCUCGCUGUCUUCAGGGGGACGGGAAGACCCUAUGCAGCUUUACUGUAGUUAGUUAUUACAUUGAUUUAAAUUCAAUUAAUAGUAAUUAGGUAUGUCGAUAGACAAAAUUUGGAAAACCUUAGAAUUUGUAUUAAAUCUUUGUUUACCUUAUAAAUUGAAAUUUCAGGGAUAAAUGACUAAUUGGCAGUUUGACUGGGGCGGUCGUCUUUAAAAAAGUAGCAAAGUACAUCCAAAGAUUUUAUAAAUUUUAUAAUAUUAUAUUUAUUUUUGUUUUUUAAUUAUAAUAUAAUAUACAGACAAAAAUAUUAAUUAUUUAGUAUUUUUUAAUACAAAAGGAAUUAAAUUAAAAAUAAAACAUAAUAUAUUUGUUUUAUUAUUACAAGAUAUAGCUAGAAAUUGAAUGGAGAUCAAUAAACCAGUGAAAGGUUUUGUAGUGUAUAAUGGCGGAAAGCAUAUCUAACUGAAAGACUUAGAAGUCGAACAGAUACGUAAGUAGGGCAUAGUGACCCCUCGCUAUAAUAUGGAAUAGACGGGGAUCAAUCGAUAAAAGUUACGCUAGGGAUAACAGGCUGAUAGCCGGCGAGAGUACACAUUGUCCCGGCUGUUUGGCACCUCGAUGUCGACUCAUCCUAUCCUCCGGGUGUAGAAGCUUGGAAGGGUUCGGCUGUUCGCCGAUUAAAAGGGUACGCGAGUUGGGUUUAAUACGACGUGAGUCAGUAUGGUCCCUAUCUUCUGAAGAUAUAAAUAGUCAAAAGGGGAAGACCUUCUAGUACGAAAGGAUCAAUAGGCUGUGUUUCUCUAGUGCACCAAUUGUUAAAUUUAAUUUUUUAAUUAAAAAGGCAUAGUUGGGUAGCCACAAACAUAUUAGAUAAGCGCUGAAUGUAUAUAAAGCAAGAAACUAACCCCUUGAUACUAUCUUAAAUUUAUUUCUAUUAUUUUUAUAAAAUAAUACUUCUUUUUAAUAUAUUAAUCCAUAAUUUAUUUUUAAGAAAAUGAAAUAAUUUUAAUUUUAUAAGAAAUAGAACAUUUCUUAAU
rnacentral:rRNA from 1 species